CGAGCAAGCCGGGCGAUCGCUGCCCCGCCCAAUCGCCGCCCAUUAUCCCAAUUCCGGGCCGGCAAGCAGGGGUGGGGGAGAGGAAAGUCCGAACUCCACAGGGCGAUGUGCUCGCUAACGGCGAGGGUCGGAGGGGGAUUCCCGGCAGGCCGGGACGUACACCUCCGGCACGGAAAGUGCAACAGAAAACAUACCGCCCGGUCCUUUCCCGACUGCUGUCGGGCUGGGGACAGGGUAAGGGUGAAAAGGUGCGGUAAGAGCGCACCGCCCCGAUAGCGAUGUCGGGGGCACGGUAAACCCCACACGGAGCAAGACCAAAUAGGAGAGGAGGAGUGGCCCGCUCCGCAACGCCGUCCCGGGUUUCCGGGGUGGCAGGUGACUCUCGGGUAGGUCGCUUGAUCCCGACAGCAAUGUCGGGACUAGAGGAAUGAUCGCCGUCCCGGUCCUCCGGGAGACAAAAUUCGGCUUACAGGCUUGCUCGCACA
rnacentral:RNase_P_RNA from 1 species